UAAAAGGGCUUUUACUGUAAAUAGUACGUUGGUCUGGCAACGGAUCGGCGCGGAAUCGCCAUCAAGAGAUUUCGGAAGCAUAAUAUUUGGCUCCCAGAGGCUGUUGGUCGCCACUGCGCCGACGCCCGU